rnacentral:misc_RNA from 1 species
AAAAACAUUCAAGUAUGACACGUCCUGUCUCUUUGAGAAUUUUUUGGCAAAAUACAGUACAAGAACUUCUAUUUGAAUGGUAAAGAGUCAUUUCCAGCACGUCUUGAUCUGUACAUUUCCAAGCUUUUCUUUGAAAAGAUAGCCAGAGCUUAAACAAUUCAUGGACAUGUAGAAAUCAUGCCUGACCACACUUGCUUAGGCAUGCAACUCCCUCUUCUAAAUAAUCUUGUCUAUUGAUCCAAAACUCAGGGGCAUCCUUCAUAAUUCCGGCCAGAACUGCACCACCGAGAUACACCAUAUGCUUUCUUCUGGGUGGAUCUUCUAUUCGUAAGCGCAAUUUCUUCAAACCAUCUUUGUUCCCCUUCAGAACAACAUCAAGAUAGCGGUCCAAAAUUUCUUUCUCAAGGCGACUAGGUAAGCCAGGAUACAUGGUACUUCCACCACUCAAAACAAUAUGCUGGUAGAGCAUCAUCCUGUUGUCAAUAUCCAUCUCCUGAAUGCAGCGAAAUACCAUGUCAGCCAUGCCAUCACCUUCAACAUCAAUAAGAUCUGGAGUAAAAAGAGCCUCAGGUGCCUGG